AGUCAUUAAUAAAGAUUUGCAACAUUACCUGAGUCUUCAGUUUCAGAAAGGAUCAAUUGACCACAAAUUGCAGCAAGUGAUCAGAGAUAAUCUCUACUUGAGAACCAUUCCAUGCACUACAAGGGCCCCCAGGGAUGGGGAAGUACCAGGGGUGGACUAUAACUUCAUUUCUGUUGAACAGUUCAAAGCACUGGAAGAGAGUGGAGCAUUAUUAGAAAGUGGAACGUAUGACGGAAACUUCUAUGGAACUCCCAAACCUCCAGCAGAACCCAGCCCUUUCCAGCCAGAUCCAGUUGAUCAGGUCCUCUUCGAUAAUGAGUUUGACACCGAAUCCCAAAGAAAACGAACUACAUCUGUCAGCAAGAUGGAAAGAAUGGACAGCUCUCUUCCUGAAGAGGAAGACGAUGAGGGCAAGGAAGCUGUUAAUGGCAGUGGAA